rnacentral:tRNA from 1 species
GCGAAGGUGGCGGAAUUGGUAGACGGGCUAGCUUCAGGUGUUAGUGUUCUUACGGACGUGGGGGUUCAAGUCCCCCCCCUCGCACCA